rnacentral:tRNA from 1 species
GGUCCGUUGGUCAAGGGGUUAAGACACCGCCUUUUCACGGCGGUAACACGGGUUCGAAUCCCGUACGGANAA